UACUACCGAAGCUACGGCAUCAGUAAUGAUGGGUAGGGGAGCUUCCCAUACGGGUUGAAGCAUGACCGUAAGGACAUGUGGACAGUAUGGGAGUGAGAAUGUUGGCAUGAGUAGCGAGAUGUGGGUGAGAAUCCCACAGGCCGUAAACCCAAGGUUUCCAGGGGAAGGUUCGUCCGCCCUGGGUUAGUCGGGACCUAAGCUGAGGCCGAAAGGCGUAGGUGAUGGACAACAGGUUGAUAUUCCUGUACUACCGAUAACCGUUUGAGAGAAGGGAUGACACAGUAGGAUAAGCUAAGCACACUGUUGGUUAUGUGUGCCCAAGCAUUGAGGCAGUCAAAGUAGGCAAAUCCGCUUUGAUAAUGCUGGGGUGUGAUGGGGAGCGAAAUUUAGUAGCGAAGUAGCUGAUUUCACACUGUCAAGAAAAGUCUCUAUCGAGGUUAAAGGUACCCGUACCGCAAACCGACACAGGUGGGUGAGGAGAGUAUCCGAAGGCCA
rnacentral:rRNA from 1 species